AAGCAGAGGACAGAGUUUGCUCCCCAGAGCCCACAUUAAGGAGACAAGCGGUAUGUGAGGUGGCAUGUGCUGUGAAGCCAGAGCAAGGAUGGCAGACAGUUGGCUGGUCAGGGGGUUCUGCAGGGAGAGGCAAUCAUCGCCAAACUGGACAACACAAGCUCACUGCCCAGGACCUACGUGACUGACAAGUGCAAGUUGUCCUCUAACUCUUUCUGUCUCUAAGCUUAGCAUCCAGUUUGCAUGUGCUUCUCUUCCAAGGAACUGUGGCACCACAGCCUACUGAGCUGAGAUCACGAAGGCAGAGGUAGAGAUUUUCUGUUGAUCUCAACAGCAGUGACCUGUCAAGCCAUCCAAUGAGAUGAAUGUGAACUCCGAUGCUGUCAAGUUACCCAUUGCUAACUCACUCCAACCUGGAAAGCUCUUCAAAUGUAACCAUCAUCUACCAGCUAGGGGUUCACCCAGUAAGUGGGGAUAUAUUACAGCCAAAGACACAGUGCUCCAGAAAGAUCCUCAAAGUUUCCAUUUUUGCUCUCAAUCUAAUCCAUGUCACCAUAUUGCUUUGGUUUUAAUAUCAUGGCUUUCAAUAUCAUUGACCCAAAGCUCACUAAUACCUAAAAUCAGCAUAUUGAGUGUAUCCAUCUCAUCAUCCAGAAAAGUUUAAACAAAUGAGAGGGGUGUGUGAUUUGAUGAUACCCGGUACGAAAGCAGAAGUGGGAACGAUCUGAGGGAUGAGAGGAAGUAAGCAGAGGAGAAACAGGAGGGUUGUGACUCAUGUAUAUGCAAAUGCCAUCAUGAAACCCAUUGUGUGUGUGCUGACUAAAAAAAAUCAACUUACAGCAUGUUUUAAGACGAAAAAUAAAAGGGAUGGGGCUGGAAAG